UCGAACGCGAAAGUCCUUCGGGAAUGAGUAAAGUGGCGCACGGGUGAGUAAUACAUGAGAACAUGCCCUUAGAUGGGGAAUAACGUUUGGAAACGAACGCUAAUACCGCAUAAUCUCGCAAGAGUAAAGGUGGCGCCGCAAGGGCUACCGUCUAAGGAUUGGCUCAUGUCCCAUUAGCUAGUUGGCGGGGUAAUGGCCCACCAAGGCGACGAUGGGUAACUGGUCUGAGAGGAUGAUCAGUCACACUGGAACUGAGACACGGUCCAGACUCC
rnacentral:rRNA from 1 species